rnacentral:tRNA from 1 species
GUGGAUGUAGCUCAGUGGUAGAGUGCCAGACUGUGGCUCUGGCUGUCGCGGGUUCGACCCCCGUCAUCCACC